GGAGAGAGCCUCGGAAAAUGGUGGUAUGGGGACUUGGCAGGGGAGAGGGCCCCCCAUGCCCUCUCCUCACCUUUGCUACCUCCCUCACCUCGGCUCACUCUCUGCUUUGCCCCGGACAGGAUCCCCGGUGAGUCAAUAAUGCUGAUACUCUCCAGGACCUGGUUGGGCAUCUGGGCACACUGGAACCUGGUAUUAUCAUCAGUAGACAGGAGAAAACUCACAUAAAUGAUGGUUUGCCCUCUGGAGCUUGGAAAAUAUUUUGACUUGAGGAGACAAAAACAGUCAGUGUCUUCGAGGAGCUGCAGCUACAUGUAUGGGUGUACCUCUGACAGCAAAUAGGAACCCUCAGCAGAGCGUCAACGCAGCGAGAUUAUAGAGGAUCGUUCUUCCCCAGGGUUUAAUGUACAUCAGAUGAGCUCCAGAUCUGGCAAGGAUCCUUACUCUGCUUGCGGAAAGAGCACAAAGCAAACCACACUGAGGCUAACUUUUCUCUCCCCUUGCUUCCUUCUGCUAGUUUAACGCACCUCCUCUUCCAGGGAUGCCUGGCAACACAGUGGGCAGCACUAACACUCUGCUCAGGGCAGGGAUGAGCUGGGCUGUGGCCAGAGGGUGUGGAGCUGGAGGAGUGGGGUUGUGAAUAAAUAAUUUGGGUGGAGCUGUUUUUUUCCUUUUUUCUUUUUUAACAUGGCAUCGCCUCACAAUGUCCUUAUGCAUAUUUAUAACGAUAAACACACCCUCAGGCUGCACCACUCCAGUUGUGGCUUUUAACUUCUCCAUGUAUUUAAAAUUUUUUUGAUGAGUUUUUUUUCUCUCCUCAGCUUACUGUAACAUGUCAUACGUUUACAGAUGUAACAGUUUUUCCCCUCCACAGUAUAAACACUUUUGCUCCUCCCAAACUCUGUGAACCUUCCAGGCAAUGAAUCACACAAAUAAGCUCUACUUUUCCACAUCCAUGCACCACCUGCUGGCUGUCUCAUAGAGGACACGUCCCACUGUCGCCACCCCCCACCCCCUCCCACUACCAUCAUACAGUACUCCUCAGUCAUCAUUAGUCACUCAAAGGAAUGUAUCCAGAAGAUCAGGAAUCACUGAACAGCUGGACAAAUGACUAGAUGGCCUGCAAUGUUUCAUAAAAGAAGCAAGGUUUAAUUUACAGUUUUACUAAAUGUACAUUUCUUUUUAAAAAGUGUCAUUAUACACAAUAAAUACAAUACAAAAUUAAUCUGUAAUACUAUA